rnacentral:rRNA from 1 species
UACGUAGGGGGCAAGCGUUGUCCGGAAUCAUUGGGCGUAAAGCGCGUGUAGGCGGCCCGGUAAGUCCGCUGUGAAAGUCCAGGGCCCAACCCUGGGAUGCCGGUGGAUACUGUCGGGCUCGAGUCCGGAAGAGGCGAGUGGAAUUCCUGGUGUAGCGGUGAAAUGCGCAGAUAUCAGGAGGAACACCAAUGGCGAAGGCAGCUCGCUGGGACGUGACUGACGCUGAGGCGCGAAAGCGUGGGGAGCGAACAGG